UUCACAGAAAGCUGGACUCACUCAGGAUCCCUUCUCUGCACUCUCUCCUCUAGAGCUCCAUCUCUGUGGAACGCCUGCUCCACCACAAGAAGCUAAUCGCUGGUGAUGCUGGAAACCCAGGAGGCAUGAAGCACGAACACUUGAAGAUACAUAGUGCUUAAACAUAAAGAAAAAUGUAGCUUCAGCAAUUUGUUUGUUUGUUCUGAAAGUUUUCAGAAAAGAAAAAGCAAAUUUAAGCACUUUCAUCAUUCUAUCUGAGCUCUUUUGACUUCCCCUGAGCCUUGGACUCGUUUGCUUGAAAUACCAUUUUCCAGCCUUUCACCCUAAGGAAGAAUC